CCUACGGGGGGCAGCAGUGGGGAAUAUUGCGCAAUGGGCGAAAGCCUGACGCAGCGACGCCGCGUGAGGGAUGAAGGUCUUCGGAUCGUAAACCUCUGUCAGCAGGGAAGAACGGUAACUGGGCUAAGCAGCAGUGAAUUGACGGUACCUGCAAAGGAAGCACCGGCUAACGCCGUGCCAGCAGCCGCGGUAAUACGGAGGGUGCGAGCGUUAAGCGGAAUUACUGGGCGUAAAGCGCUCGUAGGCGGUAUGUCAAGUCAAGGGUGAAAUCCCCGCGCGCAACGUGGGAACUGCCUUUGAAACUGGCAACCUGGAGUCUGUGUGAGGCUAGUGGUAUUCCAGGUGU
rnacentral:rRNA from 1 species